UGGGGAAUAUUGCGCAAUGGGGGAAACCCUGACGCAGCGACGCCGCGUGCGGGAUGAAGGCCUUCGGGUUGUAAACCGCUUUUGAUUGGGAGCAAGCCUUUUGGGUGAGUGUACCUUUCGAAUAAGCGCCGGCUAACUACGUGCCAGCAGCCGCGGUAAUACGUAGGGCGCAAGCGUUAUCCGGAAUUAUUGGGUUUAAAGGGUGCGUAGGUUGCAAGGGAAGUCAGGGGUGAAAAGCUGUAGCUCAACUAUGGUCUUGCCUUUGAAACUCUCUAGCUAGAGUGUACUGGAGGUACGUGGAACGUGUGGUGUAGCGGUGAAAUGCAUAGAUAUCACACAGAACUCCGAUUGCGCAGGCAGCGUACUACAUUACAACUGACACUGAAGCACGAAAGCGUGGGUAUCAAACAGG
rnacentral:rRNA from 1 species